CCUACGGGAGGCAGCAGUUAGGAAUCUUGCGCAAUGGACGAAAGUCUGACGCAGCGACGCCGCGUGCGGGAUGAAGGCCCUCGGGUUGUAAACCGCUUUCAGCAGGGACGAAAUUGACGGUACCUGCAGAAGAAGCCCCGGCCAACUACGUGCCAGCAGCCGCGGUAAU
rnacentral:rRNA from 1 species